rnacentral:tRNA from 1 species
GGCCUGUUCGUCUAGGGGUUAGGACGCAAGAUUCUCAAUCUUGAAACACGGGUUCGAUUCCCGUACGGGCUACCA